rnacentral:rRNA from 1 species
AAGGCUCCCGCUCAUCGAGGGGUUCGCGCACCAUCAGCUUGUUGGCGGGGUAACGGCCCACCAAGGCCUACGGUUAGCUGGUCUGAGAGGAUGACCAGCCCCACUGGGACUGAGAUACUGCCCAGACUCCUACGGGAGGCUGCAGUCGAGGAUCAUUUGCAAUGGGCGAAAGCCUGACAAUGCGACGCUGCGUGGAGGAUGAAGGCCUUCGGGUUGUAAACUCCUGUCAUAGGGGAACAGGCGAUCCGACCCAAUACGUCGGUGAGUUGAGUGUACCCUAAGAGGAAUUGGCGGCUAACUCUGUGCCAGCAGCCGCGGUAAUACAGAGGCCAAGAGCGUUGUUCGGAUUUACUGGGCGUAAAGGGCGCGUAGGCGGUCUUGCGUGUCAAGUGUGAAAUCUCCGGGCUCAACCCGGAAAGUGCGCUUGAAACUACAGGACUCGAGUCUGGGAGAGGGAAUCGGAAUAUAGGGUGUAGCGGUGAAAUGCGUUGAUAUCCUAUAGAACACCGGAGGCGAAGGCGGAUUCCUUGAACAGUACUGACGCUGAGGCGCGAAAGUCGGGGGAGCAAACAGGAUUAGAUACCCUGGUAGUCCCGACCUUAAACGGUGCACACCCGGGGGUGGGGCCAUUUCACCGGUCCCGUCCCUUAGCUAACGCGUUAAGUGUGCCGCCUGGGGAAUACGACGGCAAGGCUAAAACUCAAAGAAAUUGACGGGGGCCCGCACAAGCAGAGGGGGCAUGUAGCUUAAUUCGGAUGCAACGCGAAGAACCUUACCUGGAUUUGACAUCGUCGGCAAGGCCCUAUGAAAGUAGGGCGGAGGUUAUCCGAUAGACAGGUGCUGCAUGGCUGUCGUCAGUUGGUGCCGUGAGGUGUUUGGUUAAGUCCACCAACGAACGCAACCCCUUUGAUGUGUUGCCAGCGGGUCAAGCCGGGAACUCGCAUCAUACUGCCUGUUUACGCAGGAGGAAGGUGGGGAUGACGUCAAGUCAGUAUGGCCCUUACAUCCAGGGCUGCACACGUGCUACAAUGGCCGGUACAGAGGGACGCGAGACCGCAAGGUGGAGCCAAUCCCAGAGAGCCGGCCUCAGUUCAGAUCGGGGUCUGCAACCCGACCCCGUGAAGUCGGAUUUGCUAGUAACGGCGUAUCAGCUACGACGCCGUGAAUGCGUUCCCGGGCCUUGCACUCACCGCCCGUCA